AGCUCCAAUAGCGUAUAUUAAAGUUGUUGCGGUUAAAAAGCUCGUAGUUGGAUCUCAGCUCAUGCUAGGUGGUCCACUUGCCGGUGGUUACUACUUAGCUGAGCAUCUUACAGACCUGUCUUGUGAUGCUCUUUACCGGGUGUCAUGAGCGAUCUGUACGUUUACUUUGAAAAAAUUAGAGUGCUUAAAGCAGGCGUUAUGCCCGCAUAAUCUUGCAUGGAAUAAUGGAAUAGGACCUCGGUUCUAUUUUGUUGGUCUUCGGAAUCUGAGGUAAUGAUUAAGAGGGACAGACGGGGGCAUUCGUAUUGCGGCGCUAGAGGUGAAAUUCUUGGACCGUCGCAAGACGAACUACAGCGAAAGCAUUUGCCAAGAAUGUUUUCAUUA
rnacentral:rRNA from 1 species